CAGGUGGCCCAAGUGGCUGCACUGUGAUAGCUUCAGCUUCACAAGCCGCUUGAGAAAAGCAGGGAUUUUCUACCAACUGCAAAGCUGAAAGAAUACCUCAGCAUCAAAUUUGGAUCCAUAAGGUGAACCUUGAGGUCACUGUUCUCUCUCCUCUCUGUGGAGCUUCCAGCCUACUCACCCAAGUGCAGCAGCGUCCAGCAUCUCUCCUCCUAGUUCACAACCCCUGAAAGGGUAUCCUGAUGUAUGAUUUGCAAGGUGCUCCUCAGCUUUCAAGAGGGAUGCACUGCUGCUCUUACUUCUGUGCCUCCCUGUUCGGAUUGUGUCUGUAGAGCAUUUUCUUUUCCCACUGGAGAGAACUACCUAACUUGUCCCAUUCUAUGUUCAAGAAAGAACUCUGUGUUACUACCCACAUCUUUUACUGAUGAAACCUGCCAGAGCUAUUCUGUGUGGACAUCACUUUGGAGCGUUCUAUGA
rnacentral:lncRNA from 1 species